CACUUCAGGAUGUACCACCCAUUUAAUGGAAAAUAUGAUUGGUACUUCUUUAAGUGAG
rnacentral:pre_miRNA from 1 species